GGGGCAGGAAGUGAGGACACAGGAAGUGAAGGCAGUCACCUGAAGCUCCAAAGUACAGAUACGUUUUCCAACGUAGCAAGUGAAAUGAAAGUACAGAUACCUGAGAAAUGGACUUACUUUAGCAACCAAGUGUUUGUACUUUGUAACUUGCCACCAGUGGGAAGCGGACUCGCUGAGCGAGCUGAACGCCGUCUGCCAUCGUUAAUGGCCUCCCACAUGAAUAAAACAGCACGUCGGCCGCGCGCCUUCGCCAUUUCCUGUCGAGUCAACAUAAUUGACUGAAAACUUCAGGUCAACUUCCUCGUCACGGUUGCACACUUUAUGAGGAUGAAUAAAUAACGACAUAUUGUGCCGCCGCCAUUUGACACGUGUGCGUGCGCUUGUUCACGCCGCGCUGAACAGGCCAACAUGUGGAAACGCAGACAGGAAGUGGACCGGCUAAUUGGAUGUCGCCAUCCUCCGAUGUUCCUUCUGCCUCCGUGGGCCGCUGGCUCCGCCCCCGACACAGGACUCCCCCUCAGGAAGACUUGAGGACAGGAAGUUGAGACAUGGGCGCGAAGACGCGGGAAGUGAAGACUCGAGGACAGGAAGUGAAGGUGAAAUCUACGCACAAGGAGCGAAGAAGACAAAGUGGAGUCAGGAUGAAGACAGGAAAUGAUACAGGAAGUGAAGACGUGAGGACAGGAAGUUGAGACAUGGGCGCGAAGACGCAGGAAGUGAAGACUCGAGGACAGGAAGUGAAGAUGAAAUCUACGCACAAGGAGCGAAGAAGACAAAGUGGAGUCAGGAUGAAGACAGGAAAUGAUACAGGAAGUGAAGACGUGAGGACAGGAAGUUGAGACAUGGGCGCGAAGACGCAGGAAGUGACGAAUGACCAGAGGAGGACCUAAGGGGCGGGGCUUGAUUCUCGGGAAAUCCCACGCCUGCACUCUCAGGCGCACGCCGUGCGAGUGUGAGACGGCCGCAGAGCUCUCGAGGCUGCGGACGAGAACCAUGAGGACUCCGCAUCCUCUGAUGCUCGGCUUCGCGCUCGCCGCCGCCGCCGCUUUCCCCGCCAGCGUCAACAUAGGAGGACUUUUCCCGGCCGGGUCGCACGAGCAGGAAGUGUUCCGCUUCGCCGUGACGCGCCGCGCCGGCGACGUUCCCAAACUGCUGCCUCAGAUGGACGCCGUGGACGCCGGCAGCAGCUUCGCCAUGACGUACGCUUUCUGCUCGCAGUUCGCCAAGGGCGUCCACGCGGUGAUGGGCGUGUACGACCAGCGGACCGUCAACACGGUGUCUUCCUUCUGCGGCUCGCUUCACGUCAGCUUCGUCACGCCGUCAUUUCCCGGGCUGGCCGACAGCCCCUUCGUGCUGCAGUUACGGCCCGGCCUGCGGGAGGCGCUCGUGUCGCUGCUGGACCACUUCGGCUGGCAGCGCUUCGUCUACAUGUACAGCGUGCACGAAGGCGUGUCGGUCCUGAAGAAGGUUCUGGAGCGGGCGGCCUCGCGAGGCUGGCAGGUGAUGUCCGUCAACUUGGACUCGCUGAACGAGCCCGGCUUCAUCCAGCUGCUGGCCGACCUGGACUUCAAGAAGGAAUUCCAGGUGGUUCUGGACUGCGAGUCGGACCGCCUCAACGCCAUCCUGGCCCUGAUUUCAGCGCAGAAAAGAAACCUGAAGAACUAUCAGUACAUCCUCCUCAAUAUGGGCUUUGUGGAGCUGAACCUGACGGAGUUCCACGCGCUGUCCCCGAACGUGACGGGUUUCCAGCUGGUCGACUGGUCCCACGCGUCCGUGCUGACGGUCCAGCGGGACUGGAUGAACUUUGACUCCAAAGACGGCAAAGCGGCGCGGCGCGGUCUGCGGUACGCAGGCGCGCUGACCUAUGACGGCGUGAGCGCGGUGGCGGCGGCUUUUCAGAACCUCCGACGCCAGCGCAUCGACGUCUCUCGCCGCGGGAACGCCGGCGAGUGUCUCGGGAACCCCCCCGCGCCCUGGGGGCAGGGCAUCGACAUCCAGAGGGCGCUGCAGCAGGUCCGUCUGGAGGGUCUGACGGGCCGCGUUCAGUUUGAUGAGCGAGGACAGCGGACCAACUUUACCCUCACAGUCGUGGAACUGAGCCGCACCGGACCCCGGAAGGUGGGCAUGUGGAGCGAGCGGAGGGGCUACGUCAACACGGCCCGGUACAAGCCCACCCCGGAGGAGUUCUACGGGCUGCAGAACCGCACCUACAUCGUCACUACCAUCUUGGAAGCGCCCUACAUGAUGCUGAAGAAGAACCACGAGCAGCUGGCGGGAAACGACAAAUACGAAGGUUACUGCGCCGAGCUGGCCGCCGAGAUCGCCAAGCACGUGGGCUUCGCCUACCGACUGGAGCUGGUGGGCGACGGCAAGUACGGCGGCCGAGACCCCAGCAGCAAGAUGUGGAACGGCAUGGUGGGAGAGCUCGUCUACGGGAAGGCGGACGUGGCGGUGGCGCCGUUGACCAUCACGCUGGUGCGCGAGCAGGUGAUCGACUUCACCAAACCCUUCAUGUCGCUCGGCAUCUCCAUCAUGGUCAAGAAGCCCACCAAGUCCAAACCGGGCGUCUUCUCCUUCCUGGACCCGCUGGCCUACGAGAUCUGGAUGUGCAUCGUCUUCGCCUACAUCGGCGUGAGCGUCGUGCUCUUCCUGGUGAGUCGCUUCAGUCCCUACGAGUGGAAGAAGAGUGAGGAGGAAGAAGAGGUGGAGGAAGACGAAGCGCCGCCCACCUCUUCCAAACACGUUGCCGGACUUCCACUUCCUGCGCUCCACAAAGACAAAGAAAAAGAGAGUCCGGAGCACACCAACGACUUCGGCAUCUUCAACUCUCUGUGGUUCUCCUUGGGAGCCUUCAUGCAGCAAGGAUGCGACAUCUCACCCAGGUCCCUGUCGGGCCGCAUCGUGGGCGGCGUGUGGUGGUUCUUCACGCUGAUCAUCAUCUCGUCGUACACGGCCAACCUGGCGGCGUUCCUGACGGUGGAGCGCAUGGUGUCGCCCAUCGAGAGCGCCGAGGACCUGGCCAAGCAGAGCGAGAUCACCUACGGGACGCUGGACGGCGGCUCCACCAAAGACUUCUUCAGGAGGUCCAAGAUCGGCGUGUUCGAGAAGAUGUGGUCGUACAUGCGCGGCGCCGACCCGUCCGUCUUCGUCAAGAACACGGACGAAGGCGUGAGCCGCGUGCGCAAGUCCAAGGGCAAGUACGCCUACCUGCUGGAGUCGUCCAUGAACGAGUACAUCGAGCAGCGCGCGCCCUGCGACACCAUCAAGGUGGGCGGCAACCUGGACUCCAAAGGCUACGGCGUGGCCACGCCCAAAGGCUCGUCGCUCAGAAUUCCCGUGAACCUGGCCGUGCUCAAGCUCAAUGAGCAGGCCGUGUUAGACAAGUUGAAGAACAAGUGGUGGUACGACAAAGGUCAAUGUGGACACAAGGACGCCGGCAGGAAGGUCAGUUAGAGGUCGCUUGGACGCACCCCCGACCCCGACCCCCCCCCCCUCUUAGCUCCCACGUCAUACCCCCACCUUCUCAUUAUCUUCCCUUGUUGUUUUGAAGUUUCAUGUUUUCUAUUUUUUUUAUUUCUAUGAUCUUUUUCCCUUUUUUGUUUUGUUUUUAUUUUUUCUUGCAACCUUUUAUUGUCCUUUUGUGUUUUGUGUGUGAUUAUUUUUGUUUUGUUGUAUUUUUUCAAAUCUUGCUUUUGUUUUUCCUUUUUGUGAUUUUUGUAAGCUUUUGGUCUUUGGGAUUUUUGCAUGUCAGUUUUUCUGUCCUUUUCUGGUGUUUUUUUCUUCCUUUUGUCAGGGUAGUUUUUUUUUUUUGUCUUUCAGUUUUUGGUUUCAUUUGGUUUUUGGUUUCAUUUUCAUGUUCAAUCCAGUUUAUGAUUUUUUUUCUGCUUUUUUUUUUUAACUAUUUCUGCCUUUUUCCCUUUUGUUUUCUUCUUUUGUGUAUUGUCCUUUUUUAUUUUUACUUGUUUCAGUUUUUUUUGUUGCAUCAUUAUAAUGUUUUGGGACUAUUUUUGAUUUUUUUCUGUUGAUCUAUCCUUAUUUUCCAUUUUGUUUUUGCCUUUUUUUGGGUAGUUUGUUGUCCUUUACUUUUUGUUUUACAUAUUUUCAUUUUUUGUCAUCUCCCCACCCGUUCUUCCGAGCGGAGCAUGAACCCCUCGUAAAUCGGCAUGAGUCCGGCAACCUGCGGAGCCCCGCCCACAACGAAAUGACAAGACGAGCGCGCUGAGCCUGAGCAACGUGGCGGGAAUCUUCUACAUCCUGAUUGGCGGCCUGGGCGUGGCCAUGAUGGUGGCGCUGCUCGACUUCUGCUACAAGUCGCGGCUCGAGUCGCGCAGGAUGAAGG